GUCUAUGGCCAUAGCACCCUGAACACUCCUGAUCUCAUCUGAUCUUGGAAGCUAAGCAUGGUCAGGCCUGGUUAGUACUUGGAUGGGAGAAAAAAAAAGUUGACAUAAGUA
rnacentral:rRNA from 1 species